UAAUGAUCAAUCAUCAACAGUAAAACAUACAGAGAUAGGGUAGUGGCAAUGGGGUCACCAUGUUCUACACUUUUUGGUACAAAAAAGCAACUGUUCCUUGCAAAAAAAGGCCAUUCCCCUCGUCAGCUGUACCUAGGUAUGUAUCCUACAAUUAUUUUCAUUUUGAUCAUUAUCUUUGGGUCUUCAGCCUCUACAUCCAUCAUCAAUGAUCAGAGCUACACUAAUUCAGACAUGCAUUCCUUCUAAGUUCAUUUUACCAACUUUUCUUUUUUCGACCAUUGCUCCAACCGAUUUCUUUUUUGGUUAGUGACCUAAAGCAAAUUGCAUUCGAUAAGGGAAAAUUUGUUGUUGACAACGCAGAACCUACUACUUAAUCCAAUCAUAU
rnacentral:lncRNA from 1 species